rnacentral:rRNA from 1 species
GACUCGUCACACUAUCAUUAACUGAAUCCAUAGGUUAAUGAGGCGAACCGGGGGAACUGAAACAUCUAAGUACCCCGAGGAAAAGAAAUCAACCGAGAUUCCCCCAGUAGCGGCGAGCGAACGGGGAGGAGCCCAGAGCCUGAAUCAGCAUGUGUGUUAGUGGAAGCGUCUGGAAAGGCGCGCGAUACAGGGUGACAGCCCCGUACACAAAAGCGCAUGUGCUGUGAGCUCGAUGAGUAGGGCGGGACACGUGGUAUCCUGUCUGAAUAUGGGGGGACCAUCCUCCAAGGCUAAAUACUCCUGACUGACCGAUAGUGAACCAGUACCGUGAGGGAAAGGCGAAAAGAACCCCGGCGAGGGGAGUGAAAAAGAACCUGAAACCGUGUACGUACAAGCAGUGGGAGCACCCUUUGGGGUGUGACUGCGUACCUUUUGUAUAAUGGGUCAGCGACUUAUAUUCUGU